rnacentral:lncRNA from 1 species
UUGCUCUUAUGCAUCUGAGAUACUACUCCACACCCGUAAAGAAUUUUGAACAAAGUUUGGGUCAAAUAUUGGAAAUAUAAAUCAUAAAUCUAUACCUAUCUAUAAAGAGAAAAAAAUUCAGUCUGCCAAUAUUUUUCUGCCGGCCCUGUCCGUCUUCCCUUCCGUGCCCUGUCCCGUUGCCAGAAACCUCCGUCCGUUUAAAGCUGGUAAGAAAGAAAAGGAAAAUAGAAUGUUUUCUAGAUUCCCAAUGAAAAAGUUCUUUUACCGUCGCCAGGAAGGAUCGCUACCUCCGGA